CCUACGGGGGGCUGCAGUGGGGAAUAUUGCACAACGGGCGCAAGCCUGAUGCAGCCAUGCCGCGUGUGUGAAGAAGGCCUUCGGGUUGUAAAGCACUUUCAGCGGGGAGGAAGGCGUUAAGGUUAAUAACCUUGGCGAUUGACGUUACCCGCAGAAGAAGCACCGGCUAACUCCGUGCCAGCAGCCGCGGUAAUACGGAGGGUGCAAGCGUUAAUCGGAAUUACUGGGCGUAAAGCGCACGCAGGCGGUCUGUCAAGUCGGAUGUGAAAUCCCCGGGCUCAACCUGGGAACUGCAUUCGAAUCUGGCAGGCUAGAGUCUUGUAGAGGGGGGUAGAAUUCCAGGUGUAGCGGUGAAAUGCGUAGAGAUCUGGAGGAAUACCGGUGGCGAAGGCGGCCCCCUGGACAAAGACUGACGCUCAGGUGCGAAAGCGUGGGGAGCAAACAGGAUUAGAUACCCGGGUAGUC
rnacentral:rRNA from 1 species